rnacentral:rRNA from 1 species
UUUAAUUCGAAGCAACGCGAAGAACCUUACCAGGUCUUGACAUCUCCUGACAACCCUAGAGAUAGGGCGUUCCCCUUCGGGGGACAGGAUGACAGGUGGUGCAUGGUUGUCGUCAGCUCGUGUCGUGAGAUGUUGGGUUAAGUCCCGCAACGAGCGCAACCCUUGAUCUUAGUUGCCAGCAUUCAGUUGGGCACUCUAAGGUGACUGCCGGUGACAAACCGGAGGAAGGUGGGGAUGACGUCAAAUCAUCAUGCCCCUUAUGACCUGGGCUACACACGUGCUACAAUGGAUGGUACAAAGGGCUGCGAGACCGCGAGGUUAAGCGAAUCCCAUAAAACCAUUCUCAGUUCGGAUUGCAGGCUGCAACUCGCCUGCAUGAAGCCGGAAUCGCUAGUAAUCGCGGAUCAGCAUGCCG